GACGUAGGGCGCGAGCGUUGUCCGGAUUUAUUGGGCGUAAAGAGCUCGUAGGCGGCUUGUCGCGUCGACCGUGAAAACUUGGGGCUCAACCCCAAGCCUGCGGUCGAUACGGGCAGGCUCGAGUUCGGUAGGGGAGACUGGAAUUCCUGGUGUAGCGGUGAAAUGCGCAGAUAUCAGGAGGAACACCGAUGGCGAAGGCAGGUCUCUGGGCCGCAACUGACGCUGAGGAGCGAAAGCAUGGGGAGCGAACAGG
rnacentral:rRNA from 1 species